rnacentral:rRNA from 1 species
GGGGGGCCUACGGGAGGCAGCAGUGGGGAAUAUUGCACAAUGGGCGAAAGCCUGAUGCAGCGACGCCGCGUGAGCGAAGAAGUAUUUCGGUAUGUAAAGCUCUAUCAGCAGGGAAGAUAAUGACGGUACCUGACUAAGAAGCACCGGCUAAAUACGUG